UCAUGGGUUACUUCUAGUACUUCCCACAUCUCUUUAGCUGAGUUGCAUUGGGACACUCUAAAGAAUUCAUCCAUAUUCAAUGCAGAGGUGAUGAUGUUCUUGGCUAAGGAGUCAUAUUGAGCCUUCUUCCUUUCAGUUUCACUCCCAGACCAAGGCUUCUUCACAGUUUCUUCUUUGACAACCUGCAUAGGUACAAAAGAUCCAUUUGCC
rnacentral:lncRNA from 1 species